UGUGGCAGGAAUCAGCACUCAGGAAACCGGAGGAUGCGUCGCUAUGCCGACGCUCCAGGAGUACAGGCAGGGCGUGACCACGCCCACCACUCUCCCUUCAGCUGUUAGCCCCGCCUCCUUCCGACCUCCUCCAAACUCCCUUUGAUCCAACGCGAGAAGGCACUGGUAAAUUUCUCCACAUUCUAACAUCUGGAUUCUCUAUUAAGAUGAACAGUCGAGGCAAUGAGAACACGCAAAAAAAAAUAAAAAAAAAUAAAACAAAAAACAGACAGACAUACACGCGGGCCAGCUGGGUAGCUUACGGGGGAGAACAUCCAGCUCCCUGCUCUGUCUACUGGUCCCACCUGUGUUUGCUUUACAGCAGAGGUAACAAAUAUGUAAACGUCAGCAAGAUCACAACAGUAAAACAAAGAUAACGCAACGGACGACUAGAAAUAAACAGCUGAAUUAGUCGCACCUUUGUCGGAAAAUGAGAAAAUCAACAGCAGGCUCGAAUUUGGCGUCUUGCUCCGUGGUGACACAGAAAACAAAACUCUAGAUUCAAAACGACUUUUCAACACAAAGAGGAUGAGACUGAUAAGACUUUGGUCCGAUACCCUGUCUUCACACACUGAUGUGCAAAAUGAACAGAAAGGGUGAAGACUUGGGGCGAAGGGCGGGUAUUGGGUGUUUGUCUUUCAACGCAAUCAUACUUUGGAUAAGGAGUUGAGAUGGCUUUGAUUCCAGGUCGACUCGGCUGGAAAUGGGGACCAUCCUUGGAUGGGGCGUGUCCUAUGAUGGACUGGCUUCCCAUCCAGGGGGAGGUGUAGACGUUCUACCUCUUCAUGCUGCGGAAUCUCGAGGAUAAGUACCAGCACCAAAGGGCCUCAGGGCCUAUAUAGGAUUGGUCCUCACCCCACAUCAACGGGUUAGUCCUGCACAGCCUAAAAUGCUUGUACACUGGUAAAGUUUUGGUGAUUUCAGGUAUCACAGCACAUCAGAGUUGCCAAAAGGCACCUGCGAGAUUCCACCUGUUUUUUUUUUAAACCGUGAUGUGUUCAGUAUGUUUUUGUCCAAUCACAGCCAGAGAAGCUGGGAACUCCUUUAGAGUUGUCAUGGUAUUGUGGUUGUUUCCCUUGUUGUCCUCCAUGCACGCUCACCAUAGAGAAAGACAGAACAACUAGAGCACUGACUCAUUACACUGCGUAUGCAUCUCAAGUGCACCCUCAUGUGGAGCUGUCCGCCAUCACCGAAUUAGGCUGAAAGUGCUCCUGAACAAUAUAAACUAAUGCAAGCAAACAAAGUGCGACAUAAACUUAUCUGAGUGAAAUCAGGAAAAUAAGUAAACUAAUAGUACCGGCAUUUGAUAAAAAAAACUUUUCUUAUCACAAUUUAGGGACAGAAUGUCCUUGGACAGCUUUGAGCUGGAGCCAUUAACCAGAGCUAUGUGCAGUACAAAGCUUAAAGGUGUAAUGCUUAAAUGUCCAGCCAAGCCUGCAAAACUUUUAAACCCGUGUGUCAACUCGCAUACGUCAGCUUGAAAAUGCAUAAACAGGUGGAUAUGGAAUAUACCGGGAAAACGUAAAAUAAUCCAAAAUAAUGCAAACUCAUU